rnacentral:rRNA from 1 species
GACCCUUCGGGGAGCUUGCACAGGUGCUGCAUGGCUGUCGUCAGCUCGUGUCGUGAGAUGUUCGGUUAAGUCCGCUAACGAGCGCAACCCUCGCUGUGUGUUAUAUGUGUCACACGGGACUGCCGGUCUUAAGCCGGAGGAAGGUGGGGAUGAUGUCAAGUCAGCAUGGCCUUUAUAUCCUGGGCUACACACACGCUACAAUGGCCAACACAAUAGGUUGCUAAGCCGCGAGGUGGCGCCAAUCCAUAAAGUUGGUCUCAGUUCAGAUUGUAGGCUGCAACCCGCCUGCAUGAAGAUGGAGUUGCUAGUAACCGCAGGUCAGCUAUACUGCGGUGAAUACGUUCCCGGGCCUU